AAGUCGUAACAAGGUAACCGUAGGUGAACCUGCGGUUGGAUCAUUAAAAAACUUUUUAAUAAAAAGAGAUUUAAACUAUUUUGUUUAAAUCUUUUUUUAACAAAAUGUGAAUUGUUAAACGUGUCUUUAAUGGGUUAAAACAAAUUAAAUAUUUUUUUGGUUUGGGUCUCUAGGGGACAACCCAUUAAUUAAUAUUAAACAAGAGACUUUUUUAGUUGGCCUUUAAUGAAAUUUUAAAUUUUAAAUUAAAAAACAACUUUUGACAACGGAUCUCUUGGCUCUC
rnacentral:misc_RNA from 1 species